rnacentral:rRNA from 1 species
AGAGUGAACGCUGGCGGCAGGCCUAACACAUGCAAGUCGAGCGGCAGCACAGCAGUAGCAAUACUGUGGGUGGCGAGCGGCGGACGGGUGAGGAAUACAUCGGAAUCUGCCUUGUUGUGGGGGAUAACGUAGGGAAACUUACGCUAAUACCGCAUAAGACCGUAAGGUGAAAGCGGGGGAUCGUAAGACCUCGCGCGACAAGAUGAGCCGAUGUCGGAUUAGCUAGUUGGUGAGGUAAUGGCUCACCAAGGCGACGAUCCGUAGCUGGUCUGAGAGGAUGAUCAGCCACACUGGAACUGAGACACGGUCCAGACUCCUACGGGAGCAGCAGUGAGGAAUUUUCGCAUGGGGCAACCCUGACGAGCAACGCCGCGUGCAGGAAGAAGGUUUUCGGAUCGUAAACUGCUUUCUCGGGGAAGAGAACGGACGGUACCCGAGGAAUCACGCCCCGGCUAACUACGUGCCAGCAGCCGC